CCUACGGGAGGCAGCAGUAGGGAAUCUUCCACAAUGGACGAAAGUCUGAUGGAGCAACGCCGCGUGAGUGAUGAAGGUUUUCGGAUCGUAAAACUCUGUUGUAAGGGAAGAACAAGUACGAGAGGGAAUGCUCGUACCUUGACGGUACCUUGCGAGAAAGCCACGGCUAACUACGUGCCAGCAGCCGCGGUAAUACGUAGGUGGCAAGCGUUGUCCGGAAUUAUUGGGCGUAAAGCGCGCGCAGGCGGCCUUUUAGGUCUGAUGUGAAAGCCCCCGGCUCAACCGGGGAGGGUCAUUGGAAACUGGAAGGCUUGAGUACAGAAGAGAAGAGUGGAAUUCCAUGUGUAGCGGUGAAAUGCGUAGAGAUGUGGAGGAACACCAGUGGCGAAGGCGACUCUUUGGUCUGUAACUGACGCUGAGGCGCGAAAGCGUGGGGAGCAAACAGGAUUAGAUACCCUGGUAGUCCACGCCGUAAACGAUGAGUGCUAGGUGUUGGGGGGUUUCCGCCCCUCAGUGCUGAAGCUAACGCAUUAAGCACUCCGCCUGGGGAGUACGGCCGCAAGGCNGAAACUCAAAUGAAAUUGACGG
rnacentral:rRNA from 1 species